GACGAACGCUGGCGGCGUGCUUAACACAUGCAAGUCGAACGGAAAGGCUCCUGCUUGCAGGGGUACUCGAGUGGCGAACGGGUGAGUAACACGUGGGUGAUCUGCCUUGUACUCUGGGAUAAGCUUGGGAAACUGGGUCUAAUACCGGAUAAUAACUGCCUUUAGUGUGGUGGUUGGAAAGUUUUUUCGGUGCAAGAUGAGCUCGCGGCCUAUCAGCUUGUUGGUGGGGUAAUGGCCUACCAAGGCGUCGACGGGUAGCCGGCCUGAGAGGGUGUACGGCCACAUUGGGACUGAGAUACGGCCCAGACUCCUACGGGAGGCAGCAGUGGGGAAUAUUGCACAAUGGGCGGAAGCCUGAUGCAGCGACGCCGCGUGGGGGAGGACGGCCUUCGGGUUGUAAACUCCUUUCGACAGGGACGAAGCUUUUUGUGACGGUACCUGUAUAAGAAGCACCGGCUAACUACGUG
rnacentral:rRNA from 1 species